rnacentral:rRNA from 1 species
CACGUAGGGUGCGAGCGUUGUCCGGAAUUAUCGGGCGUAAAGAGCUCGUAGGCGGUGUGUCGCGUCGGCCGUGAAAACUUGGGGCUUAACUCUGAGCUUGCGGUCGAUACGGGCAUCACUGGAGUUCGGCAGGGGAGACUGGAAUUCCUGGUGUAGCGGUGAAAUGCGCAGAUAUCAGGAGGAACACCGGUGGCGAAGGCGGGUCUCUGGGCCGAUACUGACGCUGAGGAGCGAAAGCGUGGGGAGCGAACAGG